CCUACGGGGGACUGCAGUAGGGAAUAGUGCUCAAUGGGGGAAACCCUGAAGCAGCAACGCCGCGUGGAGGAUGAAGGUUUUAGGAGGGUAAACUCCUUUUGGGAGAGAAGAGAAUGACGGUAGCUCACGAAUAAGCACCGGCUAACGCCGUGCCAGCAGCCGCGGUAAUACGGAGGGUGCAAGCGUUACUCGGAAUCACUGGGCGUAAAGAGUGCGCAGGCGGGCUUGUAAGUCAGAUGUGAAAUCCUGUCGCUUAACUACAGAACUGCCUUUGAAACUAUGAGUCUAGAGUGUGGGAGAGGUAGGUUGCAUUCUUUGUGUCGGGGUCCUCUCCGUAGCUCUC
rnacentral:rRNA from 1 species